GAUGAACGCUGGCGGCGUGCCUAAUACAUGCAAGUCGAGCGAACGGACGAGAAGCUUGCUUCUCUUAUGUUAGCGGCGGACGGGUGAGUAACACGUGGAUAACCUACCUAUAAGACUGGGAUAACUUCGGGAAACCGGAGCUAAUACCGGAUGAUAUUUUGAACCGCAUGGUUCAAAAGUGAAAGACGGUCUUGCUGUCACUUAUAGAUGGAUCCGCGCUGCAUUAGCUAGUUGGUAAGGUAACGGCUUACCAAGGCAACGAUGCAUAGCCGACCUGAGAGGGUGAUCGGCCACACUGGAACUGAGACACGGUCCAGACUCCUACGGGAGGCAGCAGUAGGGAAUCUUCCGCAAUGGGCGAAAGCCUGACGGAGCCACGCCGCGUGAGUGAUGAAGGUCUUCGGAUCGUAAAACUCUGUUAUUAGGGAAGAACAUAUGUGUAAGUAACUGUGCACAUCUUGACGGUACCUAAUCAGAAAGCCACGGCUAACUACGUG
rnacentral:rRNA from 1 species